rnacentral:rRNA from 1 species
AUAUAAAGUGAUACCUAUUGGAAAAUUUGGGAUCCUGCCUGCUCUCCCACAGGUUAGGCAGUAAGGGCUGGAUUAGUAGAUAGGUUGGUGACCACUAGCGAAUACCUAAUGCUGUAUAUG